GACGUAGGGCGCGAGCGUUGUCCGGAUUUAUUGGGCGUAAAGAGCGUGUAGGCGGCUUGGUAGGUCUGCUGUGAAAACUCGGGGCUCAACCCCGAGACGUCGGUGGAAACCACCUGGCUAGAGUCCGGAAGAGGAGAGUGGAAUUCCUGGUGUAGCGGUGAAAUGCGCAGAUAUCAGGAGGAACACCGGUGGCGAAGGCGGCUUGCUGGGCCAGUUCUGACGCUGAGGAGCGAAAGCGUGGGGAGCGAACAGGAUUAGAUACCUCGUGAGUCAGAUCCAAGUAC
rnacentral:rRNA from 1 species